CCUACGGGUGGCAGCAGUGGGGGAUAUUGCACAAUGGGGGGAACCCUGAUGCAGCGACGCCGCGUGGGUGAAGAAGCGCCUCGGCGCGUAAAGCCCUGUCAGCAGGGAAGAAAAUGACGGUACCUGAAGAAGAAGCCCCGGCUAACUACGUGCCAGCAGCCGCGGUAAUACGUAGGGGGCAAGCGUUAUCCGGAUUUACUGGGUGUAAAGGGGGCGCAGAGGGGGAUGCAAGCCAGGAGUGAAAGCCCGGGGGCCAACCCCGGGACUGCCCUUGGAACUGCGUGGCUGGAGUGCAGGAGGGGUAGGCGGAAUUCGUGGUGUAGCGGUGAAAUGCGUAGAUAUCAGGAGGAACACCGGUGGCGAAGGCGGCCUGCUGGACUGCAACUGACGUUGAGGCCCGAAAGCGUGGGGAGCAAACAGGAUUAGAUACCCUUGUAGUC
rnacentral:rRNA from 1 species